rnacentral:rRNA from 1 species
GAUGAACGCUGGCGGCGUGCCUAAUGCAUGCAAGUCGAGCGAAUGGAUUAAGAGCUUGCUCUUAUGAAGUUAGCGGCGGACGGGUGAGUAACACGUGGGUAACCUGCCCAUAAGACUGGGAUAACUCCGGGAAACCGGGGCUAAUACCGGAUAACAUUUUGAACCGAAUGGUUCGAAAUUGAAAGGCGGCUUCGGCUGUCACUUAUGGAUGGACCCGCGUCGCAUUAGCUAGUUGGUGAGGUAACGGCUAACCAAGGCAACGAUGGGUAGCCGACCUGAGAGGGUGAUCGGCCACACUGGGACUGAGACACGGCCCAGACUCCUACGGGAGGCAGCAGUAGGGAAUCUUCCGCAAUGGACGAAAGUCUGACGGAGCAACGCCGCGUGAGUGAUGAAGGCUUUCGGGUCGUAAAACUCUGUUGUUAGGGAAGAACAAGUGCUAGUUGAAUAAGCUGGCACCUUGACGGUACCUAACCAGAAAGCCACGGCUAACUACGUGCCAGCCGCCGCAGUAA